GGCCGUGUAGCUCAGGGGUAGAGCGACGCUCUCAUAAGGCGUAUGUCGGAAGUUCGAAUCUUCCCACGGCCACUA
rnacentral:tRNA from 1 species